AGUGAACGCUGGCGGCGUGCCUAAUACAUGCAAGUCGUACGGAGUGGCGCCCGGGUGAGUAAUGUAUAGUUAAUCUGCCCUACACUAGAGGAAAACAGUUGGAAACAGCUGCUAAUACUCUAUAGUGUAGGUUGAGGCUAUAUUGUAUCAGCUAGUUGGUGAGGUAAUGGCUCACCAAGGCUAUGACGCAUAACUGGUCUGAGAGGAUGAUCAGUCAUACUGGAACGGAGACACGGUCCAGACUGUUACGGGAGGCAGCAGGAGGGAAUAUUACUCAAUGGGGGAAACCCUGAAGCAGCAACGCCGCGUGGAGGAUGACACUUUUCUGAGCGUAAACUCCUUUUGUUAGGGAAGCGGUACCUAACGAAUAAGCACCGGCUAGCUCCGUGCCAGCCGCCGCGGUAAUAC
rnacentral:rRNA from 1 species